rnacentral:lncRNA from 1 species
GUUCUGUUUCAGGUCCACAAGCUGGACUUCUGAGUACGACAUACUGGUUUUGGGCAGUCACCUUUUCCGCUAAUAUUAUUGUUGGUUUAGGGACAUUAAUCAUGAACAUUCCCUCUACCAGGCUGUAUGACAAACAAAUAACUAUUCAGUUGUUUAUCAUGGACAGUAUACAUUAACAUGUCUUAGAAACAUUAAUUUUAUUUCACAACAUCAUGAUUAUGAACAAAAUAGUAUGGUAUUGUUAUAUCUGUAUUAAAGUGCUUAUGACGGUAUAUCAUGGUUUAAUAAACAUAUAUCAAAAUGUUCGAGUCUCUCUUUAAAAGGCAUCUUUCACGCAAUAGAUUUUCAACAUCUUACAAUACUAACAGAUAAAACAGGGCUAGCAACUUCCACACAUUAUAACACUGUUACCAUAUAAUUGUACAUGUUGUACGAAACUACGGAUAGUUUAUUGGUCUUUGUUUUGUUUCAUAAAAAAAACCAGUAUUCGGUGCAAUAAAUUAAAGUAUUGUUUAUUCAUAACACCUACGAUUAAGGUAUAAACCAUAUAUUUCCAGCUACCUGUUUGCAUUGCAAUGUUUUGACACACUCCUCCUAGCGAUAUGGAUAAAUACUGUGCAUACGUGGCAUAUAUUUAAAUAAAAAUAUUUAAUUUCUAUAGCUUUUAAAUGAAGUAAAUAAGUGGAAAUUAUAAUAUCAAGUACAUUUCACCGAUAACAUGUAUUGUACAUAGAUUAAAAGUAGCCAAAGUUUAAUGCACUAAUAUAUGCAUACAUA